AUUGAACGCUGGCGGCAUGCUUUACACAUGCAGGUCGAACGGCAGCGCGGGCUUCGGCCUGGCGGCGAGUGGCGAACGGGUGAGUAAUACAUCGGAACGUGCCCAGUAGUGGGGGAUAGCUCGGCGAAAGCCGGAUUAAUACCGCAUACGACUUGAGGGUGAAAGCGGGGGAUCUUCGGACCUCGCGCUUUUGGAGCGGCCGAUGGCAGAUUAGCUAGUUGGUGGGGGAAAGGCCUACCAAGGCGACGAUCUGUAGCUGGUCUGAGAGGACGACCAGCCACACUGGGACUGAGACACGGCCCAGACUCCUACGGGAGGCAGCAGUGGAGAAUUUUGGACAAUGGGCGAAAGCCUGAUCCAGCAAUGCCGCGUGUGUGAUGAAGGCCUUCGGGUUGUAAAGCACUUUUGGCGGGAACGAAAAGGACUGUGCCAAUACCACGGUUCGAUGACGGUACCCGCAGAAUAAGCACCGGCUAACUACGUG
rnacentral:rRNA from 1 species